GAUGAACGCUGGCGGCGUGCCUAAUACAUGCAAGUCGAGCGAACAGACGAGGCGCUUGCUGCUCUCACGUUUGCGGCGGACGGGUGUGUCACACGUGGAUACCCUACCUAAAAGACUGGUAUAUUUUCGGGACACCGGCGCUAAUACCAGAUAAUAUAUUGCAGCACAUUGUUGAAUAGUGAUAUUCGGUUUUGCUGUCUCUUAUCGAUGGAUACGAGCCGCAUUAGCUAGUUGGUAAGGUAACGGCCUACCAAGGCGACGCUGCGUAGCCGACCUGUGAGGCUGAUCGACCACAUGGGAACUGAGACGCGCUCCAGAGUCCUGCGGGAGGCAACAGUAGGGUAUCGUCCGCAAAGGGCGGAAGUCUUGCGGAGCAGCGCCGCGUGGGUGACAAAAGUGGUGGGAUCGAAAAACCCGCUUAUUAGGGAAGAACAAAUGUGGAAUGAACUAAACACGGCUUGACGGUACCUAAUCAGAAAGCCACGGCUAACUACGUG
rnacentral:rRNA from 1 species